UACGUAGGGGGCAAGCGUUGUCCGGAAUUAUUGGGCGUAAAGAGCGUGUAGGCGGUCCGGUAAGUCCGCUGUGAAAGUCCAGGGCUCAACCCUGGAAUGCCGGUGGAUACUGCCGGGCUAGAGUCCGGAAGAGGCGAGUGGAAUUCCCAGUGUAGAGGUGAAAUUCGUAGAUAUUGGGAAGAACACCAGUGGCGAAGGCGGCUCACUGGCCCGUAACUGACGCUGAGGUGCGAAAGCGUGGGGAGCAAACAGG
rnacentral:rRNA from 1 species